rnacentral:rRNA from 1 species
GAUGAACGCUGGCGGCGUGCCUAAUACAUGCAAGUCGAGCGAACAGAUGAGGAGCUUGCUCCUCUGACGUUAGCGGCGGACGGGUGAGUAACACGUGGAUAACCUACCUAUAAGACUGGGAUAACUUCGGGAAACCGGAGCUAAUACCGGAUAAUAUAUUGAACCGCAUGGUUCAAUAGUGAAAGACGGUUUUGCUGUCACUUAUAGAUGGAUCCGCGCCGCAUUAGCUAGUUGGUAAGGUAACGGCUUACCAAGGCAACGAUGCGUAGCCGACCUGAGAGGGUGAUCGGCCACACUGGACCUGAGACACGGUCCAGACUCCUACGGGAGGCAGCAGUAGGGAAUCUUCCGCAAUGGGCGAAAGCCUGACGGAGCAACGCCGCGUGAGUGAUGAAGGUCUUCGGAUCGUAGAACUCUGUUAUUAGGGAAGAACAAAUGUGUAAGUAACUAUGCACGUCUUGACGGUACCUAAUCAGAAAGCCACGGCUAACUACGU